UAAGGAAUAUUGGUCAAUGGACGCAAGUCUGAACCAGCCAUGCCGCGUGAAGGAUUAAGGUCCUCUGGAUUGUAAACUUCUUUUAUUUGGGACGAAAAAGGGCCUUUCUAGGUCAACUGACGGUACCAGAUGAAUAAGCACCGGCUAACUCCGUGCCAGCAGCCGCGGUAAUACGGAGGGUGCAAGCGUUAUCCGGAUUCACUGGGUUUAAAGGGUGCGUAGGCGGGUAGGUAAGUCAGUGGUGAAAUCUUACGGCUCAACUGUAAAACUGCCAUUGAUACUGCAAGCCUUGAGUAUAGUUGAAGUGGCUGGAAUGUAUCAUGUAGCGGUGAAAUGCUUAGAUAUGAUACAGAACACCGAUUGCGAAGGCAGCUUACUAAGGAUUUACUGACGCUGAUGCACGAAAGCGUGGGGAUCAGACAGG
rnacentral:rRNA from 1 species